rnacentral:lncRNA from 12 species
AAGAACUAGCAGCACCACACCCUCCACGGUGUACAGAGACUCGUGUGUGAGUUUGCAGACGGAACUCUCUUCAGCUACUGAUCCCCGGGACAGCAGGACUCACUGUGGAUUUUUCUUUGCAGGACUCACUGUGGAUUUCUUCAAGACUUUUUCUUAAUGUAGAUUCAGCAGGAUUUUAUAAACAUUCUGGAUCAUUCUGCAUUUCUCCUUUUCUCACAGAUCCAAAUGAAGUGUAGAAAGGAAAAAACACACACAGAAAACUGCCAUCAGAAACCAUAGACGAGCAAAAACCAACAGGACAAAGACAGAAAAAUGGAGGACGGAAAUGAAAGCCAAACCACUGGAUCUCAAGAGAAAAGCAGGCAGAGACUUGAUAGAUGUGACAGUAUGGAGGGAAAAAGACCAUUGUUCUCUCGUGAUCCAGACGGGCAGGUAAAGUUUCAUUCUGAUGUCAAAAGCUCUUCAGCGUGUUCUCAAGAACACACAACAUCACUGAGACACCAGCAGCAGAAGAACUAAACAUCUUCAUCAUCUUCAUCAUCACAGACUCCAUCACUCAGACUACUGUCUCUUCAGCUCCAGGACUGUUUUUCAGACUCAUCUGAUCACAAACUAACAGAAUAAUGAACCGUUUCUUUCUCAGAUCUGUGUCUGAGAACAGUUUUAUUGAUAUGGAGCUGCAAUUUAUGUGAUCAUUUUCACAUCUGCUGUAACGUAUCAGACCCGAACCAGACAAAUUAAAGAUUCGAUCGUGAGCAUGGUUGAAACAUGAGCAGCCGAAUUCCACAGAAAGGCAACAGGAUGUUGUAAAUCAACUCCUAGCACCACAGUCUGAUAACCAACCAACUCUUUCACAGAACAGCUUUCAACAUUAACACCAUUAGAACAAUUAUUAACAAUUUCAAUUCAGAGAAAAGAUUGUCAAAUUUGGGGCAAGUAAUCCAGAUUGAGGGUCAAAGAGAUGCAUAGCCUGACCAUCACAUGUAAACCCAUGAGAGUAAUCAUGAUCACAUGGAUUGACUUCCCCCACCUAGCAGAACCAGACUGAAAUUCCUUUAAGGGGACCUUUUAACCUCUGGUAUGUCAGAGAAUGGCACAGGAACUGUCGUUUAUAGAUGUAAUAUGUAAUAUUUAAUGUAUUUAAAUUAAAAAGAAUACAAAAUAUCAUUGCUGUAAUAAAUGAUAUUUAUUACUACAAUACACAGUAAACUUUUAAUGUCAGUAAACAAUAUUCCAUACAAAAUAUCCCUGCAAAAUAACUGCAUUACUGAGAUUUUUGGUGGAGUAAACAAUUUAUUUUGAAGCAAUAUUUUCAUCAGUGUUCUGUUCUAUCAGCUUUAACAUACUUAAAUCUGCAUAUGUUUUAUUUACCUGUACAAAGGCCUAUGUUUAACCUUUUUAGAUGUAUCCAUCAUCUUUCAUGUCUUUCAUGUUUCUUGUAUGCAGUAUGCUAUCAUGCUGGUAUCUUAAGGACUUUCGUGGACAGCUGACUCCUAAAGUUUUUGAUAUUCUUCAUAUUCUGUGUGAUGGUGAAAUAGAAAUUAAUCUUUUCUAAUAAGUUUAAAUUGAUCUUUACCAUUUAUGGGCAUUUUACCUUUAUAAAGCCAUUUUUUCCAUAACUGUGCAUUAUCUUUUGAGUCAAAAUCUUACAUUUAAUCAGUGAAUUAGAAUAAUAAGACAUUUGGGCUGUUAUUAAGCAAAUGAAAUCAGUAUCAACAAAAUUCCUCUUUAAAAUCCAGACAUAAGCUGCACCUGAAGUGGCAUUUAGAAGUAUUUACAUACUGUUUAAUGCAAAACAUGUAUGCAUUUAACCUGCAGUUACAAAUGCAUAAAUAAUCUGAUAUAUUAAACAUAAAACGUUGAAUACUGAUAUUUGAAAUAAUAAUAAAAAAAUGAAAAGAUACUUUAAAUGUGAAAUUAAAACCGCCAGCAGGUGGCAGAAAGUCACUGUUAAUAAGUGAGUCAUUGCGAUUGAACCGAAUCAUUUAAACGGUGAUUCAUUCAGGAACAAAAUGGCAACGCUGUAAUGUUUCUCAAAGACGCAAAACAGCGCUGUGGAUUUGUUUUGAAUUAUUUUUGUUGGCGAAAUAGAGCAUAAAUAGGCGAUAUGGUGUCUAAAACGUAAGUCUCUUAAUAAAACCUCUAGUUUAUUGAACUGUUGUAAAAAAAAAAAAAAAAAUCAAUAGUACAUUUGUACUGUAUAUGGUAAUCAUGCAGUGAAAGAGUGCAGUGUAAAUGCGCAAGCGCACUAGACUUAACGAAUAUUGAGCUAAAUAGCUCACUUGUCCUGGUAUUACUUAACUAUAUCAUGUUAUGAAUAAACUAAACAAUUUUAAUUUUUACCUCAGUGUGUUUCUUCUGAGUUUAUGUGUGCCGUCACGCUCAUUUGUUCUGAAGUCUCUCACAAAGAGACAAACAGACAAACAGAGUGAGCCUCAGCACGAACUUGUAUUCUGUAGUCUGCUAAUUUACUGCAAUUCUCUGAUGACGUAGUAAUUUACCGCGGGGAAGAAAAAAUCUUCGGUCUGUCCAAUGAUUGUAAACCGUCAUUAGGUCCAUCAGACUUAAUAUAUUAGCGGUAAUGUGACCAAAAAUAUUUAAGACCCAUCGAAUAUGAAUUUAAGACAUUUUAAGACUUUUUAAGGCCUUAUAUUAGGAAAACAUUAUUUAAGACAUUUUAAGACUUUUUAAGGACCCACGGACACCCUGAGUGCAUGUGCUUAUGUGUUAGAUUAGUUUAUAUGUCUUAGAUUUAUCUAAUAACGCCUUAUUCAUAUUGAAAAGAGAAGUAUCUUGU